rnacentral:lncRNA from 1 species
CAAGAAGUCCUGUUACUGAACCACUGCUGCAGUUCACCAUCAGGUAGUAAACUGAUGAAUUCUGCUUGUCAGUGACAGGAAAAGAGACGAUGUGAAAGAUCAGAUCUGGGAGCAGGAUGAGGGAACCACCUGAUCGUUAGUCUAAAGUAAAGUGAGGAAACUGUCGGUGGUGAAGUGCUGCAGCUCAGUGAGUCAAAGAACCAACUGCGACAGAACAAAAAAAGUUUCCUAUGAACAAACUGUCUGUGGUUUGAUGGGGGAGGGGGGUGCUGGUGGCUCAGGGUUCAUAAAUUCUGGUUUUCUACUUCUCUCUGCUUCAGUCUUUCAACACCAUGUUCACGUUUCUCUGUCUGUUUAUUCUUUUUCCAGGUGAAGUUGACGUCGCUCACACAGUGGCCAAUGCAGAGAACAAAACAGUGUCUGCAUCCUGCGGCGAGACUGUGGAGCUGCCUUCAGGCCUGCAGACAGAGGAGAUGGCGCUCAGAUGGGACGACAUCAGGUGGUUUCAUCACCAACUGGGGAACAGGACAAUUUGUCCGAGCAGAGACUGUGAGCAGCUCAGGAGGACGAGACGGGAAAUCAGGCUGCUGUCACUGAAGAAAAACGUGACGACAUGUGUCCACGGACGCUGUAUGCUGCUAAAUAACGGUUCACUGAGAUUCAGCAUAGUUCAGGCUGAAGACUCAGGAAAGUACACGCUGGAGGUGUUUUAUGAAAACGGGACAGCACGGACAAAGAAGGACUUUGAGCUCCAGGUGGAGGGUUGUCAGACAGAUGGUCAGACGACAGACGGUCAGACAACAGAGGGUCAGCAGCCAGAUAGUCAGAGGACAACUAGUCAGCAGAAAGACAGUCAGGGAGACAAUAUAUCGCUGUGGAUCAGCUGCCUCCUCCUGUUUCUGCUGCUGUUCUUCAUCAUCAUCAUCAUCAUCAUCUUCAUCCUGAGAAGUAGGAGGAUUCAGAAGAAGCACAUAACAGGUCUGAACGAGGAAGAUGUUUAUGUUUCGAUGUACGGUCACCACGGCAACAAGAGGAAUGAUAAGAAGGAGGAAGAAGAGUCUCCCUAUGUUCCCUUCAUUCCUGCUGUUUCCUUGGAAACACCAAUCACAAAGCAGCACCCAGAGGCGGGAGAAGAAGUCUGA